rnacentral:rRNA from 1 species
GACGAACGCUGGCGGCGUGCUUAACACAUGCAAGUCGAACGGGUCUGCCCUGUUUUUUGCGGGGUGGGUCAGUGGCGAACGGGUGAGUAACACGUGAGUAACCUGCCCCUCACCUCUGGAUAACCGCUUGAAAGGGUGGCUAAUACGGGGUGUUCUGGCUGUGCCGCAUGGUGUGGCUGGGAAAGAUUCACUUUUGUGGUGUUUUGGUGGGGGAUGGGCUCGCGGCCUAUCAGCUUGUUGGUGGGGUGAUGGCCUGCCAAGGCUUUGACGGGUAGCCGGCCUGAGAGGGGGGGCGGUCACACGGGGACUGAGAUACGGCCCAGACUCCUGCGGGGGGCAGCAGUGGGGGGUAUUGCACAAUGGGCGGAAGCCUGAUGCAGCGACGUCGCGUGAGGGAUGGAGGCCUUCGGGUUGUGAACCUCUUUCGCCGGUGAAGAAGGUCCUGCUCUUUGUGGUGGGGUUGACGGUAGCCGGGUUAUGAAGCGCCGGCUAACUACGUG